rnacentral:rRNA from 1 species
AUGGCCGCUCCAAGAUUUCUCGCCAUCAUCCUCGUAGCGGCUCUCCUCGCGCUUUCCUUCUCGCAAGGGGCGAUGUUGGUGGUGGAGGGCAGGAAGGUGCAGGUGAUGAGGGCGGUGGGGCGGUGGCGCUCGCCCCUCCGCGGCGUCCGGUUGCAGGAGCAGCAGGAGGGCGGCGGGAUGGUGUCGACGGUGAUGGACUACUCGGAACCCAAGGCCAACACCAACCCCCACGGCAGCGUGCCCGCCGCGCCGGAGGACCCCACAUCGCCGCCGUGGCACUGA